UGGGGAAUAUUGCACAAUGGACGGAAGUCUGAUGCAGCGACGCCGCGUGGGGGAUGAAGGCUUUCGGGUUGUAAACUCCUUUCAGUACAGAAGAAGCUUUAUUGUGACGGUAUGUGCAGAAGAAGCGCCGGCUAACUACGUGCCAGCAGCCGCGGUAAUACGUAGGGCGCGAGCGUUGUCCGGAAUUAUUGGGCGUAAAGAGCUCGUAGGCGGUUUGUCGCGUCUGCUGUGAAAGACCGGGGCUUAACUCCGGGGCUGCAGUGGGUACGGGCAGGCUGGAGUGCGGUAGGGGUAACCGGAAGUCCUGGUGUAGCGGUGGAAUGCGCAGAUAUCAGGAGGAACACCGAUGGCGAAGGCAGGUUACUGGGCCGUUACUGACGCUGAGGGGCGAAAGCAUGGGGAGCGAACAGG
rnacentral:rRNA from 1 species